CACACUUACACACACACACACACACAGUGAGUGUGGCGGUGGGGACACGCGGCCAUGCAGCAGACGCAGUCACGGACUCACAUGAGGCCGCGAUGAAGAAGAGGAGCGACGUCCUCGCGUCAUCAUCGUCAUCGGUGUGUGUGUGGCGGACAAAAUGGACACCUCGGGCAGCCAUCUUGGUUUCAGUGUGGGAGCAGAGGGACCGUACCAUGCUGGAAGAGGGGGGGGGACGAGAAGUGGACAUUAGCUCCUCUUUAACUUGUUUCAGAAUACAUUCAUGUGAAGAAAAAGAUGUAAAAAUGUGUGCGAGGGUCCAAAAUGUCAAGAACGCAUCGUGUUAGAGCAGCUAAUUCAGUUUUUACUUUAUUCCAAGUGAAUUUACAAGCAGGGGUCUCAAACUCAGGUGACCUCAGGGGUCAGGAGGGGGCCGCUCCAAAUUAAGUAAAGUCCAACUUUUUGGGGAAAAAGCAGUCAGUGUGGGUGAUGUGGGCUCAUGACUAUAUCACCAUAAUGAUAUUGGACAAUAUUUCAAAGUAUAUCGUAAAUAUUCAGUAGUUCACAAUAAAAUAUAUACACGUGAUGCAAAGUUAAUGUGUAAAUAUGAUAUAUAAAGAUAUACCUCCAGGUCACACACGUCAAAGAAAUUUAAAAUUUGGCUCAUUUUCUCUUUUUAAAAACUUUAUUUGAGCAUAAAAUCUAAAUUUAAAAACCAAAAAAUAAUUAAUAGCUUUGCAUUUUGGACUCUCGCACUUGUAAAAGCUGUAUUUCCUCUACUUUCAUGUACAAAAGGGUUUAAAGUGCUAUAUUUUCCACUUUUGAACAACUGCUAUACUUCCCGUUCACUUCAUCAGUCAGUCGACGACACCACCUCUGCGCCAAGUCUCCUCCUCCCUCUGCGUUAAGUCUCCUCCUCCCUCUGCGUUAAGUCUCCUCCUCCCUCUGCGUGAAGUCUCCUCCUCCCUCUGCGUUAAGUCUCCUCCUCCCUCUGCGUUAAGUCUCCUCCUCCCUCUGCGUGAAGUCUCCUUCUCGUCGACUUCCCGACUUGGCUGAGAUGUUUGAACGGGAGAGGCGGCCAUCUUGGCUCUGGGGGGGGGCUGCAGCAGCAGUUGCUCAGUAGUCAGUGUAGAUCCUGUGGGGCUGACAGCAGCUACAUCUGGCUACUGGGUCUCUGCUGGCAGCCGCUGCAUCGUCUUCAACACAUUGCUGGUGUUCUUCUUUGAUUCUGAGCGAGUUCUGGACCUGGCAUACAGUGUAGGAUUCUGUGUGUCAGUCUACAGCUACAUUGUCUGCUGGGUUUCAGGCCCGCGCUCGCUCUCACGUCUUUAUUCGUCUUUAAAUGUAAACAAAUGUACUGUAAAUGCGUCUCAUUUGACAACUUUUUUGUGUUUAUUGACUCGUCAUAAAACAUUCUUCAAAACAAAUAAAACAAACUUUUUUUUAAA